UAAUACGAAGGGGGCUAGCGUUGCUCGGAAUUACUGGGCGUAAAGGGCGCGUAGGCGGACAGUUUAGUCAGAGGUGAAAGCCCAGGGCUCAACCUUGGAAUUGCCUUUGAUACUGACUGUCUUGAGUUCGGGAGAGGUGAGUGGAAUGCCGAGUGUAGAGGUGAAAUUCGUAGAUAUUCGGCGGAACACCAGUGGCGAAGGCGACUCACUGGCCCGAUACUGACGCUGAGGCGCGAAAGCGUGGGGAGCAAACAGGAUUAGAUACCCUGGUAGUCCACGCUGUAAACGAUGAGUGCUAGUUGUCGGCAUGCAUGCAUGUCGGUGACGCAGCUAACGCAUUAAGCACUCCGCCUGGGGAGUACGGUCGCAAGAUU
rnacentral:rRNA from 1 species